AACGAACGCUGGCGGCAGGCUUAACACAUGCAAGUCGAACGCCCCGCAAGGGGAGUGGCAGACGGGUGAGUAACACGUGGGAACGUGCCCUUUGGUUCGGAAUAACUCAGGGAAACUUGAGCUAAUACCGGAUAAGCCCUUCGGGGGGAAAGAUUUAUUGCCAUUGGAGCGGCCCGCGUCGGAUUAGCUAGUUGGUGAGG
rnacentral:rRNA from 1 species